CUGCAGCUUAAUGUCUCUCUCUCCUUCUUCGGGUUUUCUCCCGAAAUCAGUUUUGUUUCUCUUCCUCCUCCAAAGCUCGAUCUCUCCAUUUUCUCCAUUGAAAAUAUGUUGAUCUUCUUCUCUGUCGAUUCUCUGUCGAUUAUGAAGUUGAUGGCCACUUUAUUUGCCAUUUCCGUCACUACGUGUCGAUGUCGUUUCUCUCCCAUGCUCUGAAGCUCUGAUAAAGAUCAGGAGAGAAAAUGAUAUUCUUCAGAGGAAUCAGCUUCAAGAGAAAGAAAAGAUCGAGGAAAGGAUGAAAGUCAUACAAGAGGCAAGAUAAGUACAAACAUCCCUUUUCGGUAGAAAAAUAACUUGUAAAAACUGAUGUCGAUGAUGAUUUUGCAUGAUGAUCUUGAGGAAGGUGAAAUAUUUUACUAGUAGAUUAUCGUGUGUCUGUUGAAAAAAAAUCAAAUAUUUUGCAUAGAAACCGAGUUAGUGUUGGUUGAUUUUAACAAGUGAUGAUGAUAAUCUUGGGUUCCUUGGUUGAAUUUAACUAGUGAUGAUGCUUAAGCUUCGUGUGACUGUUGAAAAAAAUGAAGUUUUUUUGCAUAGAAACAGAGUUUGGGUAGUUUGAUUUUAACAAGUCAUGAUGAUGAGAUUAGUGUUUUUGUUUUCGUAUUCUUAGAUAGAAACAGAGUCCCCAUGUGUAUUCUUGUUGUUUUUUGUUUUUUGUUUCUCUUUACAGAGAACAAGAUUUUAAUUUUACUUUUUUUUGUUUGUUGUGUGACGGUUGAGGAUGUGCGUGGAAGAAAGUUGCUGAGUUUGUCUUUUCAUUCAUUACAGAACCCACUCUCACAAAAGGCAACGGAUUCAAUGUCAUCAAAGCUUCUAUCUUUCAUUUCACAGCUGGGAAGAGGUAAAUAUAUUUUGUCAGAACUGAAACCCUAGAAGCCUACAACCGAGAAGGGUAUUGCUGAAGCGUCAGGGGUAGGAUCGUCUUUUUCACUCCUAUUUUGAUGACGCGUCAGAUCAAUUUUUCGGUCUUUGCCGUUCUGCUAAUAUAUCCAUCUUCCUUUGUUUUUAGCCUAAAUUGCUCUAUAAUUAAUUUUUAUUUAUUUAUCAUGUAUUCCACUGUCAUUCAACAUACAUAAUGGAAGUAAUAUUUACUUUA